rnacentral:rRNA from 1 species
CCAUCAUUUAAAGAAAGCGUAAUAGCUCACUGGUCGAGUCGGCCUGCGCGGAAGAUGUAACGGGGCUAAACCAUGCACCGAAGCUGCGGCAGCGACACUAUGUGUUGUUGGGUAGGGGAGCGUUCUGUGAGCCUGCGAAGGUGGCCUGUGAGGGUUGCUGGAGGUAUCAGAAGUGCGAAUGCUGACAUAAGUAACGAUAAAGCGGGUGAAAAGCCCGCUCGCCGGAAGACCAAGGGUUCCUGUCCAACGUUAAUCGG